AAGACCUCGCGCUAUUGGAGCGGCCGAUGUCCGAUUAGCUAGUUGGUGGGGUAAUGGCCCACCAAGGCGACGAUCGGUAGCUGGUCUGAGAGGAUGAUCAGCCACACUGGGACUGAGACACGGCCCAGACUCCUACGGGAGGCAGCAGUGGGGAAUUUUGGACAAUGGGCGAAAGCCUGAUCCAGCCAUGCCGCGUGAGUGAAGAAGGCCUUCGGGUUGUAAAGCUCUUUCGGCCGGAACGAAAUCGCGCGAGCUAACACCUCGCGUGGAUGACGGUACCGGAAGAAGAAGCACCGGCUAACUACGUGCCAGCAGGCGCGGUAAUACGUAGGGUGCAGGCGUUAAUCGGAAUUACUGGGCGUAAAGCGUGCGCAGGCGGCUUCCUAAGUCAGAUGUGAAAUCCCCGGGCUCAACCUGGGAACU
rnacentral:rRNA from 1 species